GACGAACGCUGGCGGCGUGCUUAACACAUGCAAGUCGAACGGAAGGGCCCUGCUUUUGUGGGGUGCUCGAGUGGCGAACGGGUGAGUAACACGUGAGUAACCUGCCCUUGACUUUGGGAUAACUUCAGGAAACUGGGGCUAAUACCGGAUAGGAGCUCCCGCUGCAUGGUGGGGGUUGGAAAGUUUCGGCGGUUGGGGAUGGACUCGCGGCUUAUCAGCUUGUUGGUGGGGUAGUGGCUUACCAAGGCUUUGACGGGUAGCCGGCCUGAGAGGGUGACCGGCCACAUUGGGACUGAGAUACGGCCCAGACUCCUACGGGAGGCAGCAGUGGGGAAUAUUGCACAAUGGGCGGAAGCCUGAUGCAGCAACGCCGCGUGCGGGAUGACGGCCUUCGGGUUGUAAACCGCUUUCGCCUGUGACGAAGCGUGAGUGACGGUAAUGGGUAAAGAAGCACCGGCUAACUACGUG
rnacentral:rRNA from 1 species